rnacentral:sRNA from 1 species
UAUUCUGCCCCAUGGGGAAGGAUGAGAAGNUUCGACNAAGGUUCGACUCGAGCGAAGCGAGAGAACGUUGCCGCAGGCAACGGCCCGAAGGGCGAGGCGCUUUAGCGCCGAGUAAUCCUUCCCCCACCACCA